AUAUUUUAUUAAUGGUUUUUAUAAAAAGGAGGAAUAAAAUUUAAUAUUUUAUUCCAGUUUGGUAAAUUUCAAAAAAAAAAAAAAUAAUAAAUAAAAAUAAAUAUAUUUGUUUAAAUAUUUUCCUGGUCAACGGGGUUAUGGGAAAAUAUCUGUUGAUCGUGCAAUUAUCUGUUAAGAGAUUUAAUUGAUCUAUUUGUAUACGAUUAUGUCUAUGUGUGCAUUUAUUUCUGCUUUUGAUAUUAUUAUAUUAUUUUAUCAAAGAUUUAUUAUCCUCUUAAAUGGAUAUUUAUUUUUGUAAAAAUACAAAGAUAAUUUGAAUAAUUAUUUUAAUUGCUUAAUAGUGAUUAUAAAUAUUUUAGGAGUUUUUAAAAUAUUAAAAAUCUUAUUUCUUUAAGAACAUGAUUUUUAAUUAUUUUUAAAGCGCAACUAACUUCUAAAUUUUGUAUAAAUUUCGAAAAUGCUCUAUAAAUCCCGAAACUUUAAUUUUAUUAGUUUUGUAAUAUUAUUGGAUUUAUAAAAAAAUGUUUCGAUAAAUUUCGGGAGAAAUUUUAUUGCAAGUUAUCUCCGUAAAACAGUUAAAGAGGGUACGAAUCAAUUGAUUAGCCAGAUUGUUAAGGACAUGUGACAACAAAAGGUUUAGCCACGUGCCCCUGCUUUUCCACCGCCUUUCUUUUCUUUUCUUUUUCCUUCCUCAUUGUUUCUAAUACUCUGCAUAAAACUCUUGCUGCUAUGUCUCAUCUCUCACUCUCGCACGUAUCUCACCCAAAUCACUCUUGAUCUCACCCUCUCCGUUGGCUCUUUCUUCCUCCUGCCGUUGCUAUAGCCGCCGCCUAUUUCUCCGGCGACCAUCCAAACCCCUGCACCUCCUGUUACGAUUCAAUGGAAUUGAAGACAUUGACCGAGGCAUUAAUCGAGAAGUGAUUGAAAGGGGUAUUCAGAAAUAGCCAAGCAGAAUGUUACAAGUUGAAGUAGGACGGAGAUUUGUUAUAGAUAAAAGUGUGUCAGAAGCUGGCAGAAAGGAAUGAUUAUGCGGUAUAUAGUGUUACUAGGAAUCUGAGCUAAACUUUGGAGUUAAGCUAGGAAUAAAGAUGAUUCACUUAAGACUAGGCAAGGAUUGCAAGUGGUUGAGUUCAGGAAAAUUGUUAGGUAGGGUAUCCGGGACGAUGUGAUUAAGACUAGAUGCAGUUGGAGUUCUGCAAUUCAAUUCAGUUGGAAAUGAGAUUUGUUUAUUUGGUCAUCAGCUACUCUUCUUAUCGAUGUUUAGCUGAUAAUGCAGUUUAAUUUGUAAUUAAAUUUGAUAGUUUUAGUUUCUGAUUUCAAUGCUGUAACCUGUAUGCGAUCCUGUUUUCAGGGGGUGAAUUUGAGUUUUAAUUUAAAUCAUUUUUUUUAUAUAUUCAGGUUUUGAAAUACUUGUAUUUUUUUAAAUUGUUUUUCUUUCAGUGACUCAAAAAUACAGGUUUUAAAUUAUUUUUAUUUACACGUGGCACCAGAUCCAGACCCCCGGAUUUGAGGGCUGUCACAGUUGGUAUCAGAGCUGCAGGUUAUAAGUUAUUGAAAUCAGAAUAUAGGUGGUAAUAUUAGGUCUAAUAAAUAGGUGCACUAAGCGUAAACUCACAUAGAGGUAGUCUACAACUCUUUGGAAGAGUCUGUGUCAAUAGAACCAAGAUUCCAAUAGAGUACUGAUUUUGAGUAUAACAUAGUGUGUAUAAUAGUUCUCUUAGUUCUCUUGACCCAGAACUAGUAAGUUUAUAUAUCAGGGAAGGAAGAACAUGCCCCACUAGUUUCUAGUCUAUUGAGUAGUUAGUACCAAUAUCAGCAAACAAAUAGUUUCACCUGUUGAGACUAGAAAGUCAAUAAUUAUUUCAUAGUCCUCGUCACCAAGACAGAGAUAAAUUAGAAGAGUGACUUUAUGUGUUUUUAUUAUGGAUCAAAAUUUCUUAACACCAGUUUAAUUGAGUUAGAAACUCAUAGUAGGUGGAUAAGAUUUCUUUUGGUUGAUUUAGAUUCAAAACCAUUUGAAGGAUGAAAGAUACACCUAUUAGGUGAACUUUAUAAUGGGAACCAAUUGAGGUUGGACUAGUAUAGAUUCUCACAUAGUCUAGAGUAAUCUUUAUAGUGUCUGCCAAUCUUUGAAUAGUAUUUGGGGAGUUAUCUUUGAUUCUUGUUAAAGAUAUAUAGAAUUGGUGAAAGAAUAUAGGUCUUAACAGGUCCGAAUUUAAAGCUUUGUAUAUAGUGAAGUAGUGAGCAUUAGAGCUAAUACAAGAAUAUGAAACUUGUAGGGUCAAGUAAGAAGUUUCGUAUAUAGUUAAAUAAUGAACGUUAAAGUUAUUUAGAGCUCGUGUAGAUUAGUGGAUAUAGUACUUGUUAGUAAGUUAAGACGUCAACACUCAGUGGUGAUGAUUAUACGAAACUCGAUAAUAUUUCGGACUAUGCGAAGCUGAGCAGGACUUCUGACGAUCAUGGAUAUUUAUAAUGAGAUCUUCACAGACCAUUGUGAGUCAACGAUAAUUUACGUUAUUGAGCAUCAUCGACCGCUGAAAAAUAGAAGAAGAUUAGAAUCGAAUAAUGAUCCAUCAGAGCAGCAUAUCUUGAAGAAUCUUGGCAAUACCUUCCUCUUUGUUGAUUAUAUUGAUUACCUUCUUCAUCAAUGAAUUGUCUUAACAUCUUUUCCUAGAGACGUUUGAUAAAGACUAUAUUUCAAUCUCAUGAGUUAUAAAAUGAUACUUGUGUCUAUUUUAUCAUUUCUAACUAAUCUUUUCAUUGAAACUAGCACCUUUGGAACUUAUUCAAUUUUUAACCCAAGGUGCGCAUCAAAGAUUCAUUCAUCAAAAGUCAAUCAUUCUUAAUUGAUUUUGAAUAUCUAUUAUAUCAUUCUACUCUAACUGAGAUGAACAACCCUACCUAUAGGGGACACAAGGACUACCAGUCUGUGUGAUAGGAGUUGGAUGGGACGCCAUCACUUGUGUGUGUUGUACAUUACAAGAAGGUUAACUACCUUUAGUAGUGUCUUAAUUUAGACACGCAACACCAAGUUCUUUAGAUCAUAUUGAUCUCUCGGUUAUUCUUUUGUUUCCAAUCACGUUAUAUUUGUUCCAAUAGAUCUAAUCUUUCAUAUUCUUGUAAUCUUUAAUAGUUGAAGGUAUGCCAACUGAGUUGCCAAGUAAAAUUAAGCCUUUAUAGUAGGAGGUACCAUGAGCAAAAGCGAAUGAUGAUGCGAAUAUACGACAGCAAUCAAUAGGAUAUCACCUCAUAAAGAAGUAUUAUGGAUUAAAGAGAUCGUACGCUCUAGUUUUCUUUUCGCUGAUUCCGAGGACGGAAUCCUUUUAAGGGGGGUAGAUUGUGACAACCCGGAUUUUUCAAAAUAUUUUAUUAAUGGUUUUUAUAAAAAGGAGGAAUAAAAUUUAAUAUUUUAUUCCAGUUUGGUAAAUUUCAAAAAAAUAAAAAUAAAUAUAUUUGUUUAAAUAUUUUCCUGGUCAACGGGGUUAUGGGAAAAUAUCUGUUGAUCGUGCAAUUAUCUGUUAAGAGAUUUAAUUGAUCUAUUUGUAUACGAUUAUGUCUAUGUGUGCAUUUAUUUCUGCUUUUGAUAUUAUUAUAUUAUUUUAUCAAAGAUUUAUUAUCCUCUUAAAUGGAUAUUUAUUUUUGUAAAAAUACAAAGAUAAUUUGAAUAAUUAUUUUAAUUGCUUAAUAGUGAUUAUAAAUAUUUUAGGAGUUUUUAAAAUAUUAAAAAUCUUAUUUCUUUAAGAACAUGAUUUUUAAUUAUUUUUAAAGCGCAACUAACUUCUAAAUUUUGUAUAAAUUUCGAAAAUGCUCUAUAAAUCCCGAAACUUUAAUUUUAUUAGUUUUGUAAUAUUAUUGGAUUUAUAAAAAAAUGUUUCGAUAAAUUUCGGGAGAAAUUUUAUUGCAAGUUAUCUCCGUAAAACAGUUAAAGAGGGUACGAAUCAAUUGAUUAGCCAGAUUGUUAAGGACAUGUGACAACAAAAGGUUUAGCCACGUGCCCCUGCUUUUCCACCGCCUUUCUUUUCUUUUCUUUUUCCUUCCUCAUUGUUUCUAAUACUCUGCAUAAAACUCUUGCUGCUAUGUCUCAUCUCUCACUCUCGCACGUAUCUCACCCAAAUCACUCUUGAUCUCACCCUCUCCGUUGGCUCUUUCUUCCUCCUGCCGUUGCUAUAGCCGCCGCCUAUUUCUCCGGCGACCAUCCAAACCCCUGCACCUCCUGUUACGAUUCAAUGGAAUUGAAGACAUUGACCGAGGCAUUAAUCGAGAAGUGAUUGAAAGGGGUAUUCAGAAAUAGCCAAGCAGAAUGUUACAAGUUGAAGUAGGACGGAGAUUUGUUAUAGAUAAAAGUGUGUCAGAAGCUGGCAGAAAGGAAUGAUUAUGCGGUAUAUAGUGUUACUAGGAAUCUGAGCUAAACUUUGGAGUUAAGCUAGGAAUAAAGAUGAUUCACUUAAGACUAGGCAAGGAUUGCAAGUGGUUGAGUUCAGGAAAAUUGUUAGGUAGGGUAUCCGGGACGAUGUGAUUAAGACUAGAUGCAGUUGGAGUUCUGCAAUUCAAUUCAGUUGGAAAUGAGAUUUGUUUAUUUGGUCAUCAGCUACUCUUCUUAUCGAUGUUUAGCUGAUAAUGCAGUUUAAUUUGUAAUUAAAUUUGAUAGUUUUAGUUUCUGAUUUCAAUGCUGUAACCUGUAUGCGAUCCUGUUUUCAGGGGGUGAAUUUGAGUUUUAAUUUAAAUCAUUUUUUUUAUA